UAAAAACACAUAAAGUUCCCUUAGCGCAGAGAAUUUUCCGUUGCGUUAAAAAAAGAUGUAUCAUCUAAAAACUCAGUUUUUUUUUUGCGCAAAAAGUAAACUGGAAUUGUUUUCAAUUUUGGACUUAGAAGCAAAGGAUUAAAAAUUAUGUUUCAUCUGUUAAGUCGAAGACAAAUUCGAACCUCUAACGCGUCCCCUUAAUAAUCCUCAAGACAGUGCUGACAAGGAGGCAUACCGAUCUUUUGCAAAUAUCGCUGUCGAAUUUAGGAAUCUAGAUUCUUUCUUUACCAUUAGAAUAAGCCUUACUUAACCUAAACCUACUUUCAAACCUCUAAAGCAAAUAUCCACCUUUCACAGUUAGUAGGUGCUAUCAACGGGACCGAUAUAAGCUGCCAAAAGCACCUUUGGAAAGUUUUGGAACAGUCUUAGUUACUUUCGAUAUGCCUUUACCACUGAUUUCAGAUUUGGAAAAUUCAUAAGAGAGUACAACGAAGAGACCACUAAAAAAUUGACUUACAGAGACUUAUGGUCAUUAUUCGAAAAGGGAACAGCAACAUUUUCUGAGUGUAUGCUGAUCGUGGAAAUGAGUCGCGAAAACCAAACAGAGCUUUUAAAAUUCAUGGCAUGCUGCUCGAUUGAGCACUACACACCUUUAAAAAUUCUGGAGAGGUUUUUUCAAAAGGCAGCAGAAGCAGCAAAAGAGAGCUCGUUUGUGGAAGUUUCCGAUCGGGAUGAACUUAAAGUGGUAAUUAUACAUCCAAGAGACCACGCUACUCUCAGGGAUUUACUCAGCCGGCAAGAGCAAUCGCCUG